GCAUAUCAAUAAGCGGAGGAAAAGAAACCAACAGGGAUUGCCCUAGUAACGGCGAGUGAAGCGGCAACAGCUCAAAUUUGAAAUCUGGCCUCGGCCCGAGUUGUAAUUUGCAGAGGAAGCUUUAGGCGCGGCACCAACUGAGUCCCCUGGAACGGGGCGCCAUAGAGGGUGAGAGCCCCGUAUAGUUGGACGCCUAGCCUGUGUAAAGCUCCUUCGACGAGUCGAGUAGUUUGGGAAUGCUGCUCAAAAUGGGAGGUAAAUUUCUUCUAAAGCUAAAUACCGGCCAGAGACCGAUAGCGCACAAGUAGAGUGAUCGAAAGAUGAAAAGCACUUUGAAAAGAGGGUUAAAUAGCACGUGAAAUUGUUGAAAGGGAAGCGCUUGUGACCAGACUUGCGCCGGGCGGAUCAUCCGGUGUUCUCACCGGUGCACUCCGCCCGGCUCAGGCCAGCAUCGGUUCUCGCGGGGGGAUAAAGGCCUCGGGAACGUAGCUCCUCCGGGAGUGUUAUAGCCCGGGGCGCAAUGCCCUCGCGGGGACCGAGGUUCGCGCAUCUGCAAGGAUG
rnacentral:rRNA from 1 species